GAAGAGAGAGCUCAGAGGUGGAGCACAGGCUUUGCAAAUCUGAGAUCCCAGGUUUCAUCCCUGGUCAUUUGU
rnacentral:tRNA from 1 species